rnacentral:rRNA from 1 species
GUGGUGAACGGGUGAGUAACACGUGGGUAAUCUGCCCUGUACUCUGGGAUAAGCCUGGGAAACUGGGUCUAAUACCGGAUAUGACCUUUCACCGCAUGGUGGGGGGUGGAAAGCUCCGGCGGUAUGGGAUGAACCCGCGGCCUAUCAGCUUGUUGGUGGGGUAAUGGCCUACCAAGGCGACGACGGGUAGCCGGCCUGAGAGGGUGACCGGCCACACUGGGACUGAGACACGGCCCAGACUCCUACGGGAGGCAGCAGUGGGGAAUAUUGGACAAUGGGCGCAAGCCUGAUCCAGCCAUGCCGCGUGAGUGAUGAAGGCCCUAGGGUUGUAAACCUCUUUCGCCAGGGACGAAGCGCGAGUGACGGUACCUGGAUAAGAAGCACCGGCUAACUACGUGCCAGCAGCCGCGGUAAUACGUAGGGUGCGAGCGUUGUCCGGAAUUAUUGGGCGUAAAGAGCUCGUAGGCGGUUUGUCGCGUCGGCUGUGAAAUCUGGAGGCUUAACCUUCAGCGUGCAGUCGAUACGGGCAGACUUGAGUUCGGUAGGGGAGACUGGAAUUCCUGGUGUAGCGGUGAAAUGCGCAGAUAUCAGGAGGAACACCGGUGGCGAAGGCGGGUCUCUGGGCCGAUACUGACGCUGAGGAGCGAGAGC